rnacentral:lncRNA from 1 species
GCACUAUAGCAUCAAUGCUAACAAGUGUUCAAAUAACCACCAUAGGAGAGAAAGGCAGGGACCUCAAAUUGGGCUAAUCCACCACUCGGUGACCUUAUUUCAACAACUUAGAUUUAGCAGGAGAACAGUGAAUUUUUUCUAGACACUUGGUGGCAAGAAGAAAAAAAAAACUUAAAAUUAGCAUGUCUCCCUUUAUCUUGCUUUCCCUACUCUAGAGUUAUUGGAAUUCAUGCGCAUUUGCCAAUUAAGAGAUUAUGGGCUAAUACCAUUGUUUCCUACUUACUGCUUCUGUCCUCUGAUGAUGAAUAUUGUAUAGUUGUUAUCCCCUUCAGCAUUGUAGUUUAAAGCAAAAAGACAGCCAGGCUUAGACAAUGAUAAUGUUGAUGCAAUAACAGCAAUAGUAGAAACUCUUUCUAAUAAUGGAACAAGCACCCUAGUUUUUUUCUCUCAACAUCAAAAAAAAAAGCAAAUUUUAAUUAUUUCCCAAUAAAAAUGAGGUAAUCCAGAGUCUGUCCAGUAACAAUGCUAACUCAGAAUAUUCACUUGAUCGCAAAAUAAAAAAUCUGGGUCAAAAGGAACUAAACGAAGAGGUUCUCCCAGCUCCAUGUCCAAUGCAUUUAUUUUUAUUUUUGGCUUAGUUAGUCAUCGGAAGACAGAACCCAGAAAAGGUUUACUCAGUUAAAAGGAAGCAUGUGACUUGGAUACUGAGCUGGAUUUUCUGUAUGUGCACGUCUAUAAAACAUUUGGAUAAUCCGUGCACUAUCGAACCGUGAAUGCCUCAUAGAGAGCACGUUGAGACGUUGUCCUUACCACCAGUGUCCAUCAUGUUUUUUUACCAGUGACUCAGUGAAGCACAGGAAUGAAUCCUUAAUCAGAUCUGCACGUAAGAAACGUUGGGGGGAAAGUAAGUGUGUAUGAUGGGUGAAAACUUCAAAAUGCCCUUCAGAGGCUGAUCUUAAGCAAAGAAGUAAGGUUUUUUCCCUCUUGAUAUCUUAAAGCAUAUUUUAAUUAAAAUAUGAUUGUCACUUCCCUUUUCCCUUUCCUCCUCCAGACCCCUCCCAUGUGCCAUCCAUCUAGUUCCUCCCACCCCCAUCACUGCCCCUCAAAUGGAUGACCGAUAGAUGUACAAAGAUAGAACUACAACCUGCUGAGUCCAUUUUUGUUGCUUAUGUGUAUAUGGCCUGUCUUUGCAAAUAUUUUUUUUCUCUUGCAAGAACCAGAUUUCCAGGAUGGAAACAAGCAGAUUGAGGUUGGAAACGGGGACUUGUGGGCCUCAUGAACAGAGAAGAUGAAUCAGAGGUUACGAGUAUGGCUUGGAAUCAUUCAAGUAUAGUGCCCCAAAAGGACAAUACCACUCUAUUAAGAUCAGUCAAUUCCCAGGUGGCUGGGGAAGAGAUUUGGAGUGUGAACUCACAUUGGAUAUCCAGGAAGUAAAUGGGAGCAGAGUAGGGAGAGAAGGAAUGAGAGUGUACAGGUGGAGACGCCGGCUGCAGAGCUUAGCUGAUGCUGUCUAUAUGCUUAAGCAAGGAGCUGUCACAAGCUGUUUGCAGAGGAAAUCUCAUCUUUGAGGAUUAGCAUGCAAAGGACUUGGGUCUUUCAUAAAACCUUACAAUUCUGUCAGUUUGGUUUUAUAAAAAUGUCCAGUGAAACCACCCAGAAACCUAAUAAUUAAAUUUCACUUUUUUGAUAACCCCAAGUUUAACAAACUAUUUCUAAAACAUAUUUUGUCAACAUUACAAAUGCCAACAACCAUAAAAAUAUACAGAAAUAACACUGUGAAGAGAGCACAGCUUUGUAUGUGGCAAAAGUAAUAAAGAUAAUUACUGGAAUUAGAUAAAAAAAAAAAAGAUCAGCCUUUGGGUAUGUAUUCCUCCAUGUCAUCUAGAUGACCCUGAACAACUUACGUAACGGCCUUUAAUCCCAUUGCCUCCUAUGCAUGCAGAUAAGCACAUCUGUCAGGGUGUUUUUGACGAUUAAACAUGAAAAUUACCACUUUCACACUUUAUAAUUAUUGAUAAAGCAUCUCUGACGCAUGCAGUCUUGGUUUAGUUUCAUGAGAGUCUUGUGAGUCAGCUACCUCUGCUGUUGGUCCUAUGCCCUUCUGCUCUUGUUGAGGUAACUUUUUCCAAGGACACAUACUGACUGACAAAACCAAAAUACUAUUGAGCGUGCAGCUCCCCCUGAGCAUUUACUUUGUGACUACCAGGUGUCCACACUACAUCAGGAGGUACAAGCUCCUAUAACAGCAUCCAGAGGAAGAGCUAGCAUCAUAAUAUGUUUGCUCUGUGCUGUUCUGAACCUCAUCUGUUAGACUGUUUGGCAGUACCCAGGGUCACUCUGGUUACUCCCCUUUCAGCUAAGGCAGGACAAAAACAAAGGAGGCUUACCAAUUCCUAGUUCUUAGGGAGCCUAUAACACACUAAAGAGAAAUGAAACUGAUCCACUGGAUCUCAAAACCCUUCUCUUUUUAAAUUUACUGUGACAUUUAGAGUCUCGAGUUCAAAGUUCAAUGAGUGCUUCUGUGAGAAUGUCGGUAUGUAGGUUAGGAGGAUAUCAGAUCCCUGCCUUCGGCAGAGGAAAGAAAGUCAUUAAAGAGAUCUCCAAAAGGCUCUGAGCCCCUACUACAGAGAUUCUUAAAUGUCAUGAUGAAGUCCGGAAAAAAAGGGAAAAUAAUAGCCUUUUGUCACAAAAUAUUUAGAUGACAAUUUAACUCUUGUAUCUGAUAUGUGUAACUGACAAAUAUCUUGGUAUCUGUAAAUGUAUUUGUCCAUGACUGAUUUCCAUGGGUUGUUUGGAUGUUUGCAGUUGGAAAAGUAAAAUCUUAAGCAAGUCUCCAUUCAAUGACUUUUAAGACUAUAACGUAUCGAUGCACACCCAAUGAAACGUGGUGGGAAGCCUUGUUCAGAUUUCACCAUUUUUAGAUGGGUCAUAUAAUAUGUCUGUCUACCCUCUAGUUUUCUGGGGUUCACAUAAGGUAAAGUAUUUAGAAACACUCCAACAUUAAUGCCGUCAUGGAAAAUAUGACUAGUGUGGAUCCAAGAGUGGGUUCAAGGGGAAGGACCAGGUGCCACUCAGCCAUCUCUCAGAAAAUUACUCAGAAAUUUAUUUGACGUUUUGACGUCAGAGAUAGGUACCCUAGCAGUGAAUCCUACUGUUCCCCUUUUCUUCUCUUGUUUGCUAUCAGCAUAGACUCUAAAGAUGUUUUCUGCUUUUCUCAAUGCAAAAAUAAAAGGAGGAAGCAUUCCUUGUCCUGCCUUAUCACCAUUUCCUGACUCUUCAAAUCUUCUCAUUAAAAUAACUGAAAUCAGACUGAAGUCCAAGGGUCCAUAUGCAAGUCUGGAUUGGCUUUAAUUUACAGAGAAAAAAGGAAGGCUGAGAAGGAAUUAAGAUGUUUUAAAAUUGCUUUUUCCCAAUCUUACCUUUGUCAGUGAAUAAAGAAAAUGGUUAGAAGACUUGAUAAACAGAAGUCGUCUCUGUUUAUGAAAAGGUGGACAUGCUACCUUGAAAAUAUUUGGUGGGCAUUUGAGCUGUACAAAAUAAAUGUUUAGGUAGCAGACCCGUAAAGGUUAUUGUUUGCUUGCAAGGCUUGCAAGUGAAAAUCUCCGCCUGUCUCCUGUAUCCCCAUCUCCCUUUCCAUGCACAGGGGCUCAUUAUUGAACCCUGACUGGCAAGAAGUCACUGUGUAGCUCAGUCUGGGCUCAGAUAUGAAGCAUUUCUCAGCUUCAGCAUCCCGUGUGCUGGAAUUAAAAUCAGAGGCCAUUAAGUCCGGCUCAUAGUUACAUUUGUAAUAAAUCAGUAAAGCGCAUUUCCUCCCAUAGACUAUGACUCUUCCCGACUAGACAGUUCCAAAGAGUCCGAAAUUUUCUAUGUGAGACCGACCCCUUAAGAGCUAUUUUUUCCCUAACUUAUUUUGUUUCUCCAUGCUCAAAUCACUUAAUUCAUUUAUCAAUUAUUGGGAAAAUCAUAUCUGUGGAUAAUGGUUCCAUUAAAUUCAAUUUUUUAAAAAAUAUAUCUAAAAUCAUGUUAUACACAAUGUAAAUCUUCCAUGUUAUCUUUCGAAGUAUUAAAAACUGAGUUGAGUUUUAAGCAUCUAAAAUACAUUCUGUGCUAAGGAAAAUUACCAGAAAGUUGUGCAUUUUCACUAUACAGUUGCAAAAUAAAUGAAAGUUUUUAAAUACAAAAUUGUAUUUUGUGCUAUGGGCAUAGAGACUCUAUAGUGGAAAAAAUACAGAGUAAUUUUAACUAUUCAUUUAUUAGACUACUUACACUAUGCUUAUAUUACUUUUCUCCCUAAACUCAUAAGCAAAUACAGAAAUUCUGUAAG